CGAAAACGAAUUCUCUCUUGAGUGGAUCCUGAGUACGACGGAGCACGUGAAAUUCCGUCGGAAUCUGGGAGGACCAUCUCCUAAGGCUAAAUACUCUCUAGUGACCGAUAGUGAACCAGUACCGUGAGGGAAAGGUGAAAAGUACCCCGGAAGGGGAGUGAAAGAGAACUUGAAACCGUGUGCUUACAAGUAGUCAGAGCCCGUUAAUGGGUGAUGGCGUGCCUUUUGUAGAAUGAACCGGCGAGUUACGAUCUGAUGCAAGGUUAAGCAGAAAAUGUGGAGCCGUAGCGAAAGCGAGUCUGAAUAGGGCGAAUGAGUAUUUGGUCGUAGACCCGAAACCAGGUGAUCUACCCUUGGUCAGGUUGAAGUUCAGGUAACACUGAAUGGAGGACCGAACCGACUUACGUUGAAAAGUGAGCGGAUGAACUGAGGGUAGCGGAGAAAUUCCAAUCGAACUUGGAGAUAGCUGGUUCUCUCCGAAAUAGCUUUAGGGCUAGCCUCAAGUGAUGAUUAUUGGAGGUAGAGCACUGUUUGGAC
rnacentral:rRNA from 1 species